AUUUCCAAAUCCAUUUCAUAUCUUGCAAAUUUCUCUCUCUCCUUUCCUCCCUAACUUUCGACCACCACCUCUCUCCCUUCUCUCUCACAUUUCCUCCAUUGUCAACCAUGGGAGAGACCUUCGAAGCUUCACCAAAAUAUGCCAAACACAUAAAUCACCAACAAAAUCCCACAUAAACACAUCCUAGCUACUUGAAUUCAAGAGAAUCAUUGGAGAUUGCUUCCAAGGCUAGAGAGAGAAAGUGUGAUUGUUGGUGUAAAGUUUGGACACGAGCAGAGCAAGGAAGUAAGUAACUCCGCUUUGACGGGAGAUUUUGAGUAAGGUCUUCAGGCUAAGCGAGGAGUGAGAUUGGUCUGGUGCUGGUGGGGGAUCAUUAGAUGACGUAUUUACUUUAUCGUAUUUCCUUUUUAUCGAUAAAGUCUUGAUGUGAAGUUACUUUGAAUAUGAAUCAAGUGAUAUACUCACGGUUAUGUGUCUUCAUACAUAUAAUCGGUUCGCCUUUUGCUGCGAUACUCUGCAUAUUAUGUUUCCUUAUGAAAAAUAAGCUAUACUUGUUUUGUUUUUGUUCAUGAAAUUCCUGAUAAUUAAAAAGUUAUAACGACGUUGACGAUUUUA